CGAUUUCUAUUUCUAUCUCUUUCUGUGUUCAUCAUCUCUAUCCAUUUCUCUCUCUCUCUCUCUCGAACCAUAUCUCUCUCGCAAACCAUACCAAGGCUGCCUUUCUCUUUCUCUUUAUCUGAAAUCACAAAUCUCAUAAAGAAAUCCAACCCACCCUUCUUUAAAGUUAUAAGAGAGAGAAACCCAAACACUGCAAUUAUUCACUUUUCUUUACAUUCCUUCUUCCCUUUUCUUACUGUAUCAUCCUCCUUUCUCUCUUUAUCACCACCUCUGCUACCUCGUC
rnacentral:misc_RNA from 1 species